AGCACAGAGGACUCAGACAAAAGGUUUCUUUUCCACUUCUUGUAGCAGGAAAUCAACAAUGUUUUAGAUCAAAGCUGUUCCAUUUUCCUGGAUCCUAGUGGGGAGCUAACAUGGCGCAGAGCCACAGCCAAUCCAAGGACAUGUGGUACCUCCUGACAGCAGGCUUGACACCAGCUACUGUCCAGCUCCCCAGUAAACCAGAUUCCCUCAUUGCUCCUAAUGGGGUCUAGACUGCAGGAGGAGGAAGCAGGUGGGCAAUGUCCAGAUUUCCAUGAUGACCCUCUGAGGAGAUAUCCGUGGCUAGGUUACUGCACGACUACAGCAUCACAGAGGAGACUCCAGAACUCAAACUACCAAGAAUGCCUGUGAUAAAAAGUUCCCUUUGCAGCCAGACCAGCUGAGACUGGUACAUAGAACCAAGACAGCUGACCAAAGGACUUCAAAAAGACCUCAGUCUUCAUGAUAAUCUUAUUUCCAUGCUAAAUGAUACUCCCUCCAGCACCACGACAGUUGACAAUUGCCAUGACAAUGACUGGAAGAAGCCGUAAAAGGACUAAAAGGGAGGCGGUACUACUGAUUCCAGGAGGUUCACCACCCACUUCUGGAAAAGACAUGAAUAUUCUUCCCUUUUCUUUUAAUGUCACCUCCUUCAUUAGAGAAAUCCUGUAUCUUAAGCCCCUCACCCUCACUUGUUGAGAAGUUGAUUGUGAGCCAUCUCCUGCUUCUCAAUUCCACGGCCAUUGAAUAAAG
rnacentral:lncRNA from 1 species